GAUGAACGCUGGCGGCGUGCUUAACACAUGCAAGUCGAACGGUAAGGCCCUUCGGGGUACACGAGUGGCGAACGGGUGAGUAACACGUGGGUGAUCUGCCCUGCACUUCGGGAUAAGCCUGGGAAACUGGGUCUAAUACCGGAUAGGACCACUGCCUGCAUGGGUGGUGGUGGAAAGCUUUUGCGGUGUGGGAUGGGCCCGCGGCCUAUCAGCUUGUUGGUGGGGUGAUGGCCUACCAAGGCGACGACGGGUAGCCGGCCUGAGAGGGUGACCGGCCACACUGGGACUGAGAUACGGCCCAGACUCCUACGGGAGGCAGCAGUGGGGAAUAUUGCACAAUGGGCGCAAGCCUGAUCCAGCCAUGCCGCGUGAGUGAUGAAGGCCUUAGGGUUGUAAACCUCUUUUAGCAGGGAAGAAGCGAAAGUGACGGUACCUGCAGAAAAGGCACCGGCUAACUACGUGCCAGCAGCCGCAGUAA
rnacentral:rRNA from 1 species